AGCUUCAAUAGCAUAUAUUAAAGCUGUUGUAGUUAAAACCCCCAUGGUUGAAUUUUUUGCUUGACACGUGGAUCCGCUCUUACGAGUGUGCACCACACAUGUCUGGCCAUUCUUUGGGAGAGCCACAGUGGCAUUAAGUUGUUGGUGUGGAAAUCCCAAGCAUUUACUGUGAAGAAACUAUAGUGUUCAAAGCAUGCUUACACCGUUGCAUGUUGCAGCAUGUAAUAAUAAUACAGGACUAUUGUACUACUUUAUUAGUUUGUUCACAAUAGUAACGAUGAACAGGAACAGUUGGUGGUAUUUGUAUUCCAUUGUCAGAGGUGAAAUUUUUAUUUUUUUGGAAGACAAACUACUGCGAAAAUAUUUAUCAAAGAUAUUUUCA
rnacentral:rRNA from 1 species